rnacentral:rRNA from 2 species
UUUAUAUGAGAGUUUGAUCCUGGCUCAGGAUGAACGCCGGCGGUGUGCCUAAUACAUGCAAGUCGUACGCACUGGCCCAACUGAUUGAUGGUGCUUGCACCUGAUUGACGAUGGAUCACCAGUGAGUGGCGGACGGGUGAGUAACACGUAGGUAACCUGCCCCGGAGCGGGGGAUAACAUUUGGAAACAGAUGCUAAUACCGCAUAACAACAAAAGCCACAUGGCUUUUGUUUGAAAGAUGGCUUUGGCUAUCACUCUGGGAUGGACCUGCGGUGCAUUAGCUAGUUGGUAAGGUAACGGCUUACCAAGGCGAUGAUGCAUAGCCGAGUUGAGAGACUGAUCGGCCACAAUGGAACUGAGACACGGUCCAUACUCCUACGGGAGGCAGCAGUAGGGAAUCUUCCACAAUGGGCGCAAGCCUGAUGGAGCAACACCGCGUGAGUGAAGAAGGGUUUCGGCUCGUAAAGCUCUGUUGUUGGAGAAGAACGUGCGUGAGAGUAACUGUUCACGCAGUGACGGUAUCCAACCAGAAAGUCACGGCUAACUACGUGCCAGCAGCCGCGGUAAUACGUAGGUGGCAAGCGUUAUCCGGAUUUAUUGGGCGUAAAGCGAGCGCAGGCGGUUGCUUAGGUCUGAUGUGAAAGCCUUCGGCUUAACCGAAGAAGUGCAUCGGAAACCGGGCGACUUGAGUGCAGAAGAGGACAGUGGAACUCCAUGUGUAGCGGUGGAAUGCGUAGAUAUAUGGAAGAACACCAGUGGCGAAGGCGGCUGUCUGGUCUGCAACUGACGCUGAGGCUCGAAAGCAUGGGUAGCGAACAGGAUUAGAUACCCUGGUAGUCCAUGCCGUAAACGAUGAGUGCUAGGUGUUGGAGGGUUUCCGCCCUUCAGUGCCGGAGCUAACGCAUUAAGCACUCCGCCUGGGGAGUACGACCGCAAGGUUGAAACUCAAAGGAAUUGAC